UUAAGUGAAUAAGGGCGCACGGUGGAUGCCUUGGCACUAGGAGCCGAUGAAGGACGGGACUAACACCGAUAUGCUUUGGGGAGCUGUACGUAAGCUAUGAUCCAGAGAUUUCCGAAUGGGGGAACCCAGCAUCUUUAAUAGGAUGUUACGAUUGUGUGAAUACAUAGCACAUUCGAGGUAGACGCAGAGAACUGAAACAUCUAAGUACCUGCAGGAAGAGAAAGAAAAUUCGAUUCCCUGAGUAGCGGCGAGCGAAACGGGAAAAGCCCAAACCAGCAAGCUUGCUUGUUGGGGUUGUAGGACUCCAAUAUGGUAGUUCUUUCAGAUAGUCGAAUGACUUGGAAAAGUCAGUCAAAGAGGGUAAAAACCCCGUAGACGAAAUGUGGAAGACACCUAGGAGGAUCCUGAGUACGGCGGAACACGAGAAAUUCCGUCGGAAUCCGGGAGGACCAUCUCCCAAGGCUAAAUACUCCCUAGUGACCGAUAGUGAACCAGUACCGUGAGGGAAAGGUGAAAAGCACCCCGGAAGGGGAGUGAAAUAGAACCUGAAACCGUGUGCCUACAACAAGUCAAAGCCCGUUAAUGGGUGAUGGCGUGCCUUUUGUAGAAUGAACCGGCGAGUUACGAUUGCAUGCGAGGUUAAGUUGAAGAGACGGAGCCGCAGCGAAAGCGAGUCUGAAUAGGGCGUUUGAGUAUGUAGUCGUAGACCCGAAACCAUGUGAUCUACCCAUGUCCAGGUUGAAGGUGCGGUAAAACGCACUGGAGGACCGAACCCACGUACGUUGAAAAGUGCGGGGAUGAGGUGUGGGUAGCGGAGAAAUUCCAAACGAACUUGGAGAUAGCUGGUUCUCUCCGAAAUAGCUUUAGGGCUAGCCUCGGAAUUGAGAAUGAUGGAGGUAGAGCACUGUUUGGACUAGGGGCCCAUCUCGGGUUACCGAAUUCAGAUAAACUCCGAAUGCCAUUCAUUCAUAUCCGGGAGUCAGACUGUGAGUGAUAAGAUCCAUAGUCGAAAGGGAAACAGCCCAGACCACCAGCUAAGGUCCCAAAAUAUAUGUUAAGUGGAAAAGGAUGUGGGGUUGCACAGACAACUAGGAUGUUGGCUUAGAAGCAGCCACCAUUUAAAGAGUGCGUAAUAGCUCACUAGUCGAGUGACCCUGCGCCGAAAAUGUACCGGGGCUAAACAUAUUACCGAAGCUGUGGAGUACACCUUUAGGUGUAUUGGUAGGAGAGCGUUCUAAGGGCGUCGAAGGCAGAUCGUGAGGACUGCUGGAGCGCUUAGAAGUGAGAAUGCCGGUAUGAGUAGCGAAAGACAGGUGAGAAUCCUGUCCACCGAAUGACUAAGGUUUCCUGGGGAAGGCUCGUCCGCCCAGGGUUAGUCGGGACCUAAGCCGAGGCCGACAGGCGUAGGCGAUGGAUAACAGGUUGAUAUUCCUGUACCCGUUGUUUUUAUUUGAGCAAUGGAGGGACGCAGGAGGCUAAGGAAUGCAGACGAUCGGAAAUGUCUGUCCAAGCAGUAAGUCUGAAGAGGAGUCAAAUGCUUCUUUUCUUAAGGACAAGCUGUGAUGGGGAGGGAAAUAAUAGUACCGAAGUUCCUGAUGUCACACUGCCGAGAAAAGCUUCUAGUGAGAAAACAGCGGCCCGUACCGCAAACCGACACAGGUAGUCGAGGAGAGAAUCCUAAGGUGAGCGAGAGAACUCUCGUUAAGGAACUCGGCAAAAUGACCCCGUAACUUCGGGAGAAGGGGUGCUGAUCAUACGAUCAGCCGCAGUGAAUAGGCCCAAGCGACUGUUUAUCAAAAACACAGGUCUCUGCAAAAUCGUAAGAUGAAGUAUAGGGGCUGACGCCUGCCCGGUGCUGGAAGGUUAAGAGGAGUGCUUAGCGCAAGCGAAGGUACGAAUUGAAGCCCCAGUAAACGGCGGCCGUAACUAUAACGGUCCUAAGGUAGCGAAAUUCCUUGUCGGGUAAGUUCCGACCCGCACGAAAGGCGUAACGAUUUGGGCACUGUCUCAACGAGAGACUCGGUGAAAUUUUAGUACCUGUGAAGAUGCAGGUUACCCGCGACAGGACGGAAAGACCCCAUGGAGCUUUACUGUAGUUUGAUAUUGAGUGUCUGUACCGCAUGUACAGGAUAGGUAGGAGCCGUAGAAAUCGGAACGCUAGUUUCGAUGGAGGCGCUGGUGGGAUACUACCCCUGCGUUAUGGCCACUCUAACCCGCACCACUGAUCGUGGUGGGAGACAGUGUCAGAUGGGCAGUUUGACUGGGGCGGUCGCCUCCUAAAAGGUAACGGAGGCGCCCAAAGGUUCCCUCAGAAUGGUUGGAAAUCAUUCGAAGAGUGUAAAGGCAGAAGGGAGCUUGACUGCGAGACCAACAAGUCGAGCAGGGACGAAAGUCGGGCUUAGUGAUCCGGUGGUUCCGCAUGGAAGGGCCAUCGCUCAACGGAUAAAAGCUACCCUGGGGAUAACAGGCUUAUCUCCCCCAAGAGUCCACAUCGACGGGGAGGUUUGGCACCUCGAUGUCGGCUCGUCGCAUCCUGGGGCUGUAGUCGGUCCCAAGGGUUGGGCU
rnacentral:rRNA from 1 species